rnacentral:rRNA from 1 species
UGAGCAAUCUGCCCUUCUCUUCGGAAUAAGCGUGGGAAACCGCGUCUAAUGCCGAAUACGACCUCCUUUCGCAUGAUCGGAGGUGGAAAGCUCCGGCGGAGAAGGAUGAGCUCGCGGCCUAUCAGCUAGUUGGUGUGGGUAAUGGCCCACCAAGGCGACGACGGGUAGCCGGCCUGAGAGGGUGACCGGCCACACUGGGACUGAGACACGGCCAGACCUCCGUACGGGGAGGNAGCG